rnacentral:tRNA from 1 species
GCCUGGCUGGCUCAGUUGAUAAAGCAUGAGACUCUUGAUCUCAGGGUUGUGAGUUUGAGCCUCAUGUUGGGUA